rnacentral:rRNA from 1 species
ACAGAGGUGGCAAGCGUUGUUCGGAUUUACUGGGCGUAAAGCGUACGUAGGCGGUACUGUAUGUCGGAUGUGAAAGCCCGUGGCUCAACCACGGAACUUCAUUCGAAACUGCAGAACUAGAGUACAGGAGGGGAGAGCGGAAUUCUUGGUGUAGCGGUGAAAUGCGUUGAUAUCAAGAAGAACACCGGUGGCGAAGGCGGCUCUCUGGAAUGUUACUGACGCUGAGGUACGAAAGCUGGGGGAGCAAACAGG